UACGUAGGGGGCAAGCGUUGUCCGGAAUCAUUGGGCGUAAAGAGCUCGUAGGCGGCUCGUUGCGUCGGCUGUGAAAACCCGCAGCUCAACUGUGGGCUUGCAGCCGAUACGGGCGGGCUGGGAUUCGGUAGGGGAGACUGGAAUUCCUGGUGUAGCGGUGAAAUUCGUAGAUAUCGAGAGGAACACCGGUGGCGAAGGCGGCCUUCUGGACAGUGACUGACGCUGAGACGCGAAAGCGUGGGGAGCAAACAGG
rnacentral:rRNA from 1 species